rnacentral:rRNA from 1 species
UUGAACGCUGGCGGCAGGCCUAACACCUGCAAGUCGAGCGGACGAAGGGAGCUUGCUCCUGGAUUCAGCGGCGGACGGGUGAGUAAUGCCUAGGAAUCUGCCUGGUAGUGGGGGAUAACGUCCGGAAACGGGCGCUAAUACCGCAUACGUCCUGAGGGAGAAAGUGGGGGAUCUUCGGACCUCACGCUAUCAGAUGAGCCUAGGUCGGAUUAGCUAGUUGGUGGGGUAAAGGCCUACCAAGGCGACGAUCCGUAACUGGUCUGAGAGGAUGAUCAGUCACACUGGAACUGAGACACGGUCCAGACUCCUACGGGAGGCAGCAGUGGGGAAUAUUGGACAAUGGGCGAAAGCCUGAUCCAGCCAUGCCGCGUGUGUGAAGAAGGUCUUCGGAUUGUAAAGCACUUUAAGUUGGGAGGAAGGGCAGUAAGUUAAUACCUUGCUGUUUUGACGUUACCAACAGAAUAAGCACCGGCUAACUUCGUG